rnacentral:rRNA from 1 species
UACAGAGGGUGCGAGCGUUGUUCGGAAUCACUGGGCGUAAAGCGCGCGUAGGCGGCUACUUAAGUCGGAUGUGAAAUCCCCGGGCUCAACCUGGGAACUGCAUUUGUGACUGCACAGCUUGAGUGCGGCAGAGGGGGAUGGAAUUCCGCGUGUAGCAGUGAAAUGCGUAGAUAUGCGGAGGAACACCGAUGGCGAAGGCAGUCCCCUGGGCCUGCACUGACGCUCAGGCACGAAAGCGUGGGGAGCAAACAGG